GAUGAAGAACGUAGCGAAAUGCGAUAAGUAGUGUGAAUUGCAGACUUUAGUGAAUCAUCGAAUCUUUGAACGCACAUUGCGCCCCUUGGUAUUCCAUUGGGCAUGCCUGUUCGAGCGUCAUUUACAACCUCAAGCUCCGCUUGGUGUUGGGUGUCUGUCUGCGCUUCUUGCGAAGACUCGCCCUAAAUCUAUUGGCAGCGGCAUCGCCGGCUUCUCGCGCAGUACAAUGCGUUAUGGAAGGCUACCGGCGGGCUUGCGGCCAUCAAGUAACCCCCCAAGUUUGACCUCGAAUCAGGUAGGGAUACCCGCUGAACUUAAGCAUAUCAAUAAGCGGAGA
rnacentral:misc_RNA from 1 species